rnacentral:rRNA from 1 species
GGGGGGGGCAAGCGUUUGUUCGGAUUUACUGGGCGUAAAGGGCUCGUAGGCGGCCAUUUAAGUCGGUUGUGAAAUCCCUCGGCUCAACCGGGGAACUGCGACCGAUACUGGGUGGCUUGAAGCCGGGAGAGGGAUGCGGAAUUCCAGGUGUAGCGGUGAAAUGCGUAGAUAUCUGGAGGAGCACCCGUGGCGAAGGCGGCAUCCUGGACCGGUCUUGACGCUGAGGAGCGAAAGCUAGGGGAGCGAACGGGAUUAGAUACCCCGGUAGUCCUAGCUGUAAACGAUGAAUGCUUGGUGUGGCGGGUAUCGAUCCCCUGCCGUGCCGUAGCUAACGCGUUAAGCAUUCCGCCUGGGGAGUACGGUCGCAAGGCUG